rnacentral:rRNA from 1 species
UACACACCGCCCGUCACACCAUGGGAGUGAGUUGCUCCAGAAGCCGUUAGUCUAACCGCAAGGGGGACGACGACCACGGAGUGGUUCAUGACUGGGUG